CUUCUCCAACGGCCGUUGACUUUUCUCCAUGGCGAUGACCCUUCCAUCCAUCCGUGGUCACAUUCCGGAGGGACAACCUGAGCCUUUCUCCGCUCCCUUCUCCGGAGGGAGGUCCUUCAGCCCUUGGAUCACCUCUGGGCUCCUUCCAACACCUCCACAUCCUUCCUACGCUUGAGGACUCCGGAGACGGACCCAGAAGCUCCUGGUGGGACCUCACCAGGGAGGAGAAGACGCGUCGGAUGGGGUCAUUUCUCCACGUGGAGACCUUUGGAUGAGUUCUUUGACCAUGAGGAACGCUUUGGGAGGUCCUUCAGCCCUUGGAUCACCUCUGGGCUCCUUCCAACACCUCCACAUCCUUCCUACGCUUGAGGACUCUGGAAGACGGACCCAGAAGCUCCUGGUGGGACCUCACCAGGGAGGAGAAGAUGCGUCGGAUGGGGUCAUUUCUCCACGUGGAGACCUUUGGAUGAGUUCUUUGACCACGAGGAACGCUUUGGGAGGUCCUUCAGCCCUUGGGUCACCUCUGGGCUCCUUCCAACACCUCCACAUCCUUCCUACGCUUGAGGACUCCGGAGAUGGAUCCAGAAGCUCCUGGUGGGACCUCACCAGGGAGGAGAAGAC